AGGGGCGUAGUUAAUCGGUAUAACAGCUCUCUCCAAAAGAGCAAUGGGGGGUUCAAUUCCCUCCGCCCCUG
rnacentral:tRNA from 1 species